GUGCUUGCUUUGGCAGCACAUAUACUAAAAUUGGAAUGAUGCAGAAAAGAUGGGCAUGGCCCAUGCACAAGAACAACACAGAUUUGUGAAACAUCCCAUAUCUUU